rnacentral:rRNA from 1 species
AUACGGAGGGUGCGAGCGUUAAUCGGAAUUACUGGGCGUAAAGCGUGCGUAGGCGGUUUGUUAAGUCAGAAGUGAAAGCCCUGGGCUCAACCUGGGAACGGCUUUUGAGACUGGCAGACUCGAGUUGAGUAGAGGGGAGUGGAAUUUCCGGUGUAGCGGUGAAAUGCGUAGAGAUCGGAAGGAACACCAGUGACGAAGGCGACUCCCUGGACUCAAACUGACGCUGAGGUACGAAAGCGUGGGUAGCAAACAGGAUUAGAAACCCUAGUAGUCC